CUGCCCCGACCCACUACGCCGCUGCCACCCCUGCACCCCCGUCGCCUCCCUCUCCCCAUCCCCCCUUCCUCCCCCUCUGACCCCACCCCGACGCGUCUCCGUCUCCACGCUGUCAAGCACCAAAGCUGGCCGGAGAAGUCCAGCACGACGAACCGGACCGUCGCCGACCCCGCCCUGACAGCGUCUAUGUCGUCUCUGUCGGAUACUGGUGCAGAGCGAAGGUCUCCACCAUCGCCGCCGACCCCCCACACCCGAUGACCCCCGCACCCACUCCACCGCCGGAGUCGCCGCCGGAGCACUAGGAGGAGGAGUCCUUCUCCAGCCAUCGCCAUCUCGCGGUCGCCACCGUCUCUCCGGUCCACCCCGGCCUUCAUCGAGCCUGCCAUGAUCUCCGUGUGUGCUUGGACGGGAGGGCGCCGGGGUACCAUCUGCAGAGAGGUACCACUUGGAGGUAUGAAGAUUAUCUAUAGUGAAACAUAAUGCUAUGGUAGUGUGAUGUAGUGCUGUCUCUGUAGUAGUACUUAAUCCUGGGAAGAACUAUGUUGUGAAUUUUUCAAACAAAAAACUAUGAAAUUUUCAAACUACAUACUAAUGAAUAAACAGAAGGAAACCAGGCUUUGUUGUGAA